GCCAACUCUGGGUUUAAAGCCGGGGAUGUUUUUCUGCUACUCUCCAAAGAGUGGGUGAACGGCUCCCAGAGCUGUUGUCCGCGCGUGUGUGUGGACAAAAUGGCGCCGCGGCCUUUUUCUGCGCCCGCCAUCAUGGCUGCCUGCUGUAGGGAGGGGGAAAUGAGGCGGUGUCGAUGGGGGUGGGGAGCCUCAGGGAGUGUCUUUUUUUUUUCCAGAACUUUCCUCAUCUUUUUUCCAGCCCUGUAUUCUUUCUGACCCACGGACCGGCGUCCAGUUUAGCUUACUCAUUUAAGGACCUGAGGAAGAUGCUGCUCAAAAGGAGUAAAAAAAAUUCGGCUUAAUUACGGGAAGGCUUUGGAGCUACGAUUUCUGAUUGUUCUGUUUCCGAAGAGGCUCGUGAUGUAAUCAUUUUGAAGUCUUUGAAAAGCAUUAUAAUAAAGCCUUAUCAUUGCUGUUGUUUCUUUAAAUUUAGGAACCCUGCGUUGACCCGUUUAAUUUUAAAUAAGAACAAUGGUGCUUAAAAAAAAAAAGUCUGCUUUUGAGUAUAAGAUGCCCAAUUCUGGUGUAUCACGUAUUGUGAUUACCUCAUUUUUACUGAAACUUUAAAAAAAAUGCAAGCAUUUUGUAUUCCUUUCCACUGGAAAGAAAAGUUCUGUGUACUCCUUUUCGAAAACAAGUAGGGCUAUAAUCAUAACGAAAAAUUUAUUAUUUGCUCUUUUAUAAAAAUUACGGUUUCUGGAAUUAGGAUGGUUUCUGCACUCCCCUCCUCCAAUAUUAACCGAUUUUUGAUAAGGUUUCAAACAAUUGGAAGCCUUUUUUUAUAUUUGUGCAACUAAUCGAUGUAAUGUUUUCCUUUGUUUAGUGUUUUGGGCCUGUUAAGGUACUUUAAAUAAAGAAUAGCAUUGUUUUACUUGGGCUCAAAUUUAAAAACGAAGCCAUUUCAAACAUUUGGACCUGCAGUGCCUCGUUCAAUAAAAAGACACAGUCCCCUGGAGAAGUGGCCUAGUAUUAGAUUCACUGUACCUUCUUUGCACUGGAAAAAGAUUUGUGUACUUGGUCUUGAGCGUUAUUAGGGUUUAAAAAAAGAUAAAAAUGUUAGGAUAACUGGUGGCCUUCUGAAAAAGCAAAUGCUAGAGUAGAAGACGGCUUUGCAAUUAGCAUUUAAGAUUCUUACGUACCUCUCUGCUAAAUCGAAAUAAAGUUAAGAACUUAUCAGAGAAAUUUUAUUCAGUUGGGUUUUGUUUUUGUUUUUUGGGGUUUUUUUGGAUACUUUUUAUUAGGCUAUUACUAUAAAAUAGCUUCAUGGAAAUAAGGGCCAACUGGCUACCUAUCAUUCAUACCUGUUUAGUGUUAGGACGGUUUUUGUUCUAUAUAUUUUACAGAUGAAAAUGGCUUUUUGGUAUAAGUUAUUAGCUUCUAUUACUGGAUGUCUUCCCUUAUGCCAUGGGCAUUUGACUUCCCUAUUGCCAGGCUUCUGUGAUGCACGUAAAUAAACUUGACUGAAAACUUGUACUACCUGGGCUAGAUGCUGAUUUUUCCGUGGAAAGGUCGUUUAUAGUUCUAGCCAUGAUCUCUGAAAAAGUGAAUGACAUGUGCCAGUGGUUCUGCAGCAUGCCCCCAAGAGGAGUGAUAGCAGUGCUUAAGUUUUUGCAGUUUUACCAAGUGUAAGCUUUACUAGCACUUAACAUCACAGACAUCUCUGAAGUAGCCCAUAAGGAUAAUGAUGAGAAGGAGAAUUAAAAGAAAAUGGGAAAUGUGAAAAUCAUGAUUAACUGAUACAGCUUGAUUUAUUAGAAAGUAGAGCACAAAGAGCAUCUUAGGGGAGCUUUGCUGUAAGAUAAAGUUGAACUCGAAUCUAUGCAAUGAAAGCUUUCACCACAAAAAUUUUAUGAUUCCAGAAAUCACCCAUACAUAGAAAACUGAUGAGACCCUUGAAUGAUUCUAAGAACCUCUCCAGUAGUUAGUUGUUUCCUUUGUUUGCUUUUUUUUUUUUUAAACCAUUGUCAGAGGCUUAACACAUUUAUGUCUUUCAUCCCAACUAAGCUUGUAAAUCUUUCAGCAUUUUAUUCUUUGAGUCUAGCAUUGAGUUUGGCACAUUUGUGACUCUUCAGUAAAUAGUUGUUGAAAUAGUGCAAUUUCUCCCCCUUCAUUUGUUAAAUUACUCCCCUUUUAGUUUACUUGGCAUUUGUUUUCUGGACUAAUCUUCCUAAAGGAAGGAGAAAUUCAUUGUCAUGUGAUUUUUUUUUCUUCCUGCUGAAAAUUUAUAGUGAUUCCCUUUUUAUCCAAUUCAGAUUUUUCUGUAAAGACCAUGGUAGUAAGUAUUCUAGACAUUGUGGACAACAUACAUUUUCUGUCUGAUUUCUUAAUCUUUUUAAAAAUGUAAAAACCAUUCUUAGGUCAAGAGCCAAAUGGUCCACCUUCUGAAUACUACUGAAACGGUUUCCCCUGCCUUUUAUCAAAAUCUGAUUUGGGAACAGUUCAGGUUUUAGCUUCUUGAAGCUUUUUUCUAGGACUCAUUUAAAUCAGUGUCUUUUUUGUAUGAUGCUGCUGUUUGUAAUUUGGACUGCACAGUUAAACAGCCACAGAAAUACUUUUUUUUUUUUUAACUGGAAAU